ensembl:ncRNA F38A6.8 ncRNA
GUAUUAGGUUACUGUUAAGCUUUCUGUGUUUGAAUAACCCCGAAGAGACUUUUUUGGCGGCUUGGUGAGCCUGGCCUGGUGGCAGCGGCAAAAGUCAAGGGACUAACCGACCAUACGGUAUAAGGUAACCGCUGCACAAGGACCUGCUAAUCUGUCAUUCAACCUGAACAAAUACAGUGAAGUCCGUUACCUGAUUUUUAAAUGUGUAUGUGGUAGACUAGUAUAGAAAUUAUACGGUGAAUACUAACCAUAAUCUCAGUUAAAAAGUCCUUUAUAGGUGGAGUACCGAAAUCUAGA